AAACAAAACAAAACAAAAAUUUAUUUCUGUAAACCGUUUUGAGUGCAGAUGCCUUCACCACCCCAGCACAGCACAGACGUCCCCCGACGAAACGAGCAAGGAAAAGAGAAAAAGAGCCCUACCUAACAUGGGCAUGAAGAACCAAGCCAACCUCAUCUUUCUUUGAAAAAAAAAAAACAUCCUUUUUGUGUGAGGUGCCACCGAGGAUUAAAACCAUAGACUUUCUGGUUCCCCCCCCAGUGGGGGGGGGCUGCACACACAGCUGUGGUGACCGUGACGGAGCAGGGAGCCUCUGUCCCCUGCUGUCUGUGCUGUCGUGCAGAGGACCGCUUUGACCUAAAUGCCCAUUCUGCACCCCUAAUGUCCUCGUCACUUGGGGAGCCCGAGGAUGUGAGCCCUGAGCACCUCCCGUCGAAUCUGGACUCAGACCUCUGCCCCCACCCCCCGCCAUCCCGAGAGCGCCAUCCCAAGGCUGGGGAACGGGCCGCUUCUGACGGGUGGCAGAUUUUCCUCUCUCCUCCUUCGGUCUGAGUCAGGGCUGCCCAUCUCUCCACCGAGCACCGUCUCUGAUGGACAUGGAGCUUAGGCAACUUGGAAUGGAGGUGGGGGGUGGGGGGGCCUCCGGAGGGACUCCUGGAGAUGUGAGCCUGGCCAGCGGGGCGCGACAAGGGCACGAUGAGGACGGGCUCCCCACGUGGCUGCCUCCUCCGUGGGAAGCAGGCGGGCGCCAAAAAAAAGAAAACAAGAGAGCGACACUGGCCCAGGCACCAGAAGCGACGCGAGGUUGAUGGGUCAGGCCGGGCAGGCUGCCUGUGCGUUAAGAAAUGCCAGGAGAGGGUCACCGCGGGAGGCACCUCCGAUCUGGUGAUGUGCGUGACCUUGGCAUCCAAAUGAUUUUUGUUUAGAACAAGAAAGGGGUCAGGGGGAGAAAAGAAAAAAAAGCAAAGAAAGAUGUUCCAUGAGCUUCAUGGGACGGGACACAGCAGGUGCACAAGGGGAAGCGGGGAGGGGAGCUGGGUUGCGGACGGGGUGGCGGGCGUUGCCUCUCAUCGCGUCUCCUCUCCCUGGUGGGCUGAUGGGCUGGUAGCUGAGGCCGCGGUCCCCUCCCCCGGGGAGCAGGCAGAUGACUUUGGCAAGGCGCGGGGUGCGGGGGUUACUCCGUCUGGGCAUCAUAAUUGGCACCCCCGGCCUUCUUGAGCUCGCUCUUGAUAAAAUCUUCCUCCAGCUCCUUCCGAUCACUGAUCACAAACUCUUUGGCGAAAUUCUGCAAGAACAAAAUGAAACACAGAGUUCCGGUUAAAAAGGAGGAGACGGGAACUCAGUGUUGCUCAGGCAACACACCAGGAAGUCUUGGCACCGAAAAUACUAAGAAACGAUCAAAAUGACAAUCUGGUGGCAGAAUAGUUUGGCAGGGAGGGAAAAAAAACAAAAAACAUGACUAGAGAUCAGAAGAUGGGUAAAGUCCAGACAUUAUGCAGUCCCAAGACCGUGGAAACAGGCCAAGGUCAGGACUGGGUUUGGACUCCGACUCUGUCGGUUUCCAGCUGUGUGACCUUGGAUAAGUUCUUGCCAAUGUCUAUGCCUCAGUUUCCUCAUCUGUGAAAACCUAUCUUGUCAGGAGAAUAAUGAGAGACGAAGCUGGAAAGGCAGGCUGGUGUGCUGGUGAAAGUAACACCAGGCUUUGCAGAAAAGCGGGCUGGCGGAGGCUGGGGGGAGGGGAGAUGGUUUGUAGUUUUACCCGUUUCCAUAGUAUAAAUGUUCCCAUGAUGGCCGAUUACAAGCUAUGGACAAGGGAGCUGCACGAGGAGCUGGGAAGAGACAUCGCUGGCUGUCAUCAGCUGGCACAAGGUCACUUCAGGCACCCCUGGUCCUGGUGAUUCAGGGCCUCUGUGGUCACUGAACACACUAAAGUAUAUCCUAAGCUCGCCAGCCAGUCAGUGACUUGAAGGCAGAGGCUUUGCCUGCAUUCAUUCAACAAACACCAUGUCAUGUGAUCGGACUGCAGGGAUGAGCAAAUGGAUGAAGUCACUGUGCCCUCUCAGGGUGCACGUGUGUUCAACCCUAAUACCCCACCAGCCUGGCACACAUGAAGCUCUCCCGGAGUGCUAGUGGCAUAAAGAGUGAAGCAGGUGAUAAUGGCUUAUCAGAUAACACUGAGCCAUGAACAGUCGACAGUUAUUUUAAUAUAUGCAUCAUAAGAGAUCCUGUCAUGACUAAGUGGUUAGCAAAUCCAACUAGGAACCAUGAGGUUGCGGGUUUGAUCUCUGACCUUGCUCAGUGGGUUAAGGAGUUCAAGACACCAUCUCUGAUUCCCCCACCAGCAGCGGGGACACGGUGCUUCUAUCCACCAGCAUCCUUUUCUUUUAACAAAUGGGAUUGGAUGUGGAGCUGCCAAUCAUGAGGCCCCACCUCCCUCUCCCACAGGAUGUACAUGUGACCUAAGCUGGGCCAGUUGGAUCCUUUUAAGGGAAUGAUUGACACAGAGGGAGGAGGGCUCUUUCUUCCCUUGGUUUCAAGACCCAAAAGAACCACCAGGCCUGCAUCAUUUCUCCUACUGCACACAGACCACCUGAGGCCAAACCCAGAGGAAAGAGAAAAGAGAGACGAAAGGAAGAUAAUGCUUCAGCCCUUGACCUAGACACACCCAAAGCUGGUAAACCUGCCCUUCCCAGUUCAGAGAGCCAGGCGAUUCUCCUUUUAAUUUGUAUUUAUUUAUUUAUCUAUUUGUUUGUUUAUUUUUGGCUACAGUCUGCAACAGCUUAUGUGGGAUAUUAGUUCCUGACAGGGACUGAGCCUGGGCCACAGGAAUGAAAGCACUGAUUCCUAACCAUUAGACCACCAGGGAACUCUCCCCUUUUUUGGGCCACGCCCAUGGCACGUGCAAGUUCCCGGGCCAGAGAUCAAACCCAGGCCACAGCUGCAACCAGUGCCACAGCUGCAGCAACACUGGAUUCUUGACCUGCUGCCCACAUGGGAACUUCUAGGACUCUCCUUUUUUAAAUAAUUCCUUUUUUGCAACGCCCCUUUUUUCUGCAAUGCAUUUGAGCUCGCGAACAAAUGAAGUGUAACCAAAACUCCCAAAUGAAGUUACCCGAAUCACCCUCUUAACCCACUUAACCAAAUUAAGAAGAGUUCUCGAUUGCAGAGGAAUUCUGCAGACUGCUAAGAGGGCCAAGGUUUCCCUUUGGGGGAGGGGCGAUUAAAAACAAGUUCUGGAAAUUUUGUCUGAUGGGGCUGGUUGCCCAGCGCUGUGAAAGUACUUAACGCCACUGCGCUGUACACUUUAAGAUGGCCAGCGGUUUAUGUGAUGUAUUUUACUACAGUCUUAAAAGUGGAAAAAAAAAACAAACCAAAAACAGAAGCUCUGCAAGAUCCAAAGACUGUCCCCAGUGGACGCUGCCCAGCACACAUCCUUUCCCUGUGUGCCCUGUUCUGGCCACGCGGGGCUGGCCCACGAGAGGAAUAAGCCAGGAUGGCAGAGUUCAGCAGGAGACCUUUGGCCAGGGACCUGCAUUCUUGUGCACGUUCCAUGCUGCUGCCAUAGAGGAAAACUCUGAAAGCUGGUUAACCAUUCAAACCCCAACUGUCCUGUAGGAGAGCCCAAAGGGUUGAGUCGGGGGCCAUCAGAGCAAGGGUGCCAGUGCCAGCCAGGUGCCAAUCCCAGGGCCGUCUGGUAAUGCCGAUUACGGUUUGGAAGAAAUAACAUUUGUUGACUAUUCGCUAUGAAGAGUUCCCGCUGUGGCACAGCAAAAACAGAUCCGACUAGCACCCCUGAGGACGUAGGUUUGAUCCCUGGCCUCGCUCAGUAGGUUAAGGAUCUGAAAUUGCCCUGAGCUGCAGUGUAGGUCGCAGACACAGCUCUGAUCCCGCGUGGCCGUGGCUGUGG
rnacentral:lncRNA from 9 species